rnacentral:ncRNA from 2 species
UAUGAAACUAUGAUCAAGAGUAGUAGAUAUAAUAAAGGUCCUAAGCGAGUCAGGGAUGGUGGGAGCCUGAUGAUACUAUUAUAUCCAAUGGACUUGAGAGUUAAUAUCUGAAAUUAUAGUAGGAUAUUAGGACUAAUCCCCCUUACGGAUUAAAGUGGGCUAUAAGCCAAUUAGAGUGGUACCACGGAAGCAACCCUUUCGUCUCUUUU